GAUUAACGCUGGCGGCGUGCCUAACACAUGCAAGUCGAACGAGGUAGCAAUACCUAGUGGCAGACGGGUGAGUAACGCGUGGUCAACCUACCGUUGAGUGGGGGAUAACUAGCCGAAAGGUUAGCUAAUACCGCAUACGUCUCCGAGGGGCAUCCCUUGGCGAUAAAAGGAGCAAUCCGCUCGAUGACGGGACCGCGUCCCAUUAGCUAGAUGGUGGGGUAACGGCCUACCAUGGCACCGANGGGGUAGCUGGUUUGAGAGAGCGACCAGCCACACUGGGACUGAGAAACGGCCCAGACUCCUACGGGAGGCAGCAGUGAGGAAUUUUCCGCAAUGGGCGCAAGCCUGACGGAGCGACGCCGCGUGUGGGAAGAAGGCC
rnacentral:rRNA from 1 species